rnacentral:rRNA from 1 species
GACGAACGCUGGCGGCGUGCUUAACACAUGCAAGUCGAACGAUGAAGAAGAGAAACGCGAACUUCGGUUCAAAUUUCACUUCGGAUUAGUGGCAGACGGGUGAGUAACGCGUGAGCAACCUACCUCUUACAAAGGGAUAGCCUCGGGAAACCGUGAUUAAUACCAUAUGACACAUUCAUAAGGCAUCUUAAGAAUGUUAAAGCUACGGCGGUAAGAGAUGGGCUCGCGUCCCAUUAGCUAGUUGGUGAGGUAACGGCCCACCAAGGCGACGAUGGGUAACCGGCCUGAGAGGGUGAACGGUCACAUUGGAACUGAGACACGGUCCAAACUCCUACGGGAGGCAGCAGUGGGGAAUAUUGCACAAUGGAGGGAACUCUGAUGCAGCGACGCCGUGUGAGCGAUGAAGGAAUUCGUUUCGUAAAGCUCUGUUCUAUGGGAAGAAAAGGACUGUACCAUAGGAGAAAGCCCCGGCUAAAUACGUG